rnacentral:lncRNA from 1 species
UCGAUUGGCUGUUAGACAGGUUCGUUCAUGUUCGCUCAUCUUGAUAAUAUACGUUUCAGUUAGAUCGCAAAAAUCGUGUUGUCUAGCAUGCAAGUUUUUUUUUCAUGAAUCCACGCCAGCUAAUGCAUACAGGGAAAAGAGGGAACAUUGAAGAACCAUAUUCUCCUCUCCACUUUGCUCUACGGUGCUGAAAGCAAAAAAUAGAUUUACUUAUUUCUGGUGUGAUUACUAUUUUUUUAUCCUUGUAUUAAGCAUAUCAGUGAAUAUGAAUAUAUUAAGCCAUGCUCUUUGUUUACGAUUGAGUUGUUGCAACUCCAUAUGUAAUAUGCGAGCUGCCAAAGUGAUGUACUGUAUAUCAGAGUAACUAUUUAUCUUUUCAACCAAUCAUGAAAUUGAUUGCAAUUCUAUUAUCACGUUUGUUUACACAAGAGAAUUUUCUUAAUCGAUCAUGUUUUUUUGUUCUCUGCAGAAACUUUUAGCCAUCAAAUUAUUAUUGCACUUGCGAGUCAAACUGUGCAAAAAGAUGGAUCAAAGGCCACCAUGGCAUCGGCACAUUGACAAUGAUCUUGCUCCUCUCAUUUUCUUUCUUUCUGAAUCCCUCAAUCCAUCAGAGGAGCUCAAGUCCAAGUAGAGGCAGCUCAUGAAUUUCUGAACAAAGACAGUGAGCAAAGAAUCCCCCAAAGAGCAAAGAUGUGUUUGUUAGUUUGCAACUAGCACACAAAGAAUGUCAACCUUGAAACCUAAAGCACUUUCUACUUAGAGAACUACUGGCUCAAACAGAGAAUUUCUGCAGCAGCAACAUAUAUGAAAAGUGUUGUUUUUUAUUGUUUACCAGGGGAAUAUACAUAUCACUAUCCAAGAAUGACUUCAUGUUCUGGUACUCUUUUUUUGGUUAUAUCUUGGGAGAAUACACAUUGGACUGUGUGGGGAGUAUAUAUCUUUUCCGAAAAGUAAAGUAAAAUUCAAGGGCAGAAGAUUCACAAUAUAAUCGUUCUUGAGGUGUCCACUAGACCUGAAAUGGUAAGUAUUUUUUGUCUGCAGUUAUAACAUAACACAACCACUUGUCUUUUAGAAUCAUAGACAUCACAAAGCAAUAAUUCUGACAUUUUCACAAUAGCCGAUGUCCAUUCUUAGCUUUACAAAUAUAUACUUCCUUGAAAUAAAUAUAUGGUAACUUGAAACAGGUCCAUUGUAAAGGAGGCACUACACCUAGCAGUCUUAUUCCCAUAGAUUGAAGAAAUGUUUGAAAAACGUACACAUACUACUUUUUCAAUUGUUCCUCCUGUUUUAUGUAACAUUGAUCCUUAGUACUUCGAUAGAAAUAUUAUUAAUACCUAAUAUUUCAUGAUGAAUCUAAUGAUACUAAUUUGGUGUUCGAGAUGUUGAUAUAUUUUUCUCUAGCCUUACAAAGUUAGAAGUUCAGUUAAUUUGGGACGAAGGGAGUAUAGAUUUGCGCCGUGGGAGUUAUAUUAAUAUAAUUUUUACAAAAGUACGCACAUAAUGGUAUAAUUUAGUAGGUUUUGUAGAUUUAAUAAAAUGACUGGUCAAAUUUGCAGAAAUUCAAGUAAAAACAUAGCACUUCUUUUUGACCGGGGAUAGUAAUUGUUAGUUUUGCUUCAUGCAUAUUUGUCUUGUGGGUUCUCAUAGUUGGACUGAGCAUUGCAUUGGCUUGUUCCCCAUGCUGUAAUCAUGGUUUUCGAGUCGCGACUCAUGCGAGUCGCUCUAGGGCAGCGACUCGAAAGAAGUCGAGCCUGCGUUGUGACUAGUCGCGACUCAGAGUCGCGAGUCGACACUAAGCUGAGUUGACCAUAUUUUUGCGACUCAUAGACUAGUCGUGACUAGUCGAGCGACUCAAAAUCCAUGGCUGUAAUUCAUAGAUGACGACUAAUCUUGCAUUCCUCUCAAACUGAAGAAGACAAUUAAUUUUGUGCUAUGUUUUCAGAUCAGUAUCCCCUGGAUUUUCAAUUCAGUGUGCUGAUGGUGAUGAGUAUGGUCUCAAGCCUGCAGAAAAUUCCCCGUGAGUUUGAAACUAUUUAUUUCAUUGCAUACUCUGAAUUCAGUGGUCUGUCGAAGGCUCGAAGAAUAACACUUUAUAGUUUAAUAUCAUCAAUUUUUUAUGUUCCGUAGGAGUUUAGUGGUGCACUAUCUUAAUUCUGAACCUGUGUGCAUCAUUGCACUGAGCAGAAAAUAAGUUGUAGAAAACUAUUUGAUCGAUCAUAGAAUUUAAUAUUGGAAACUAAAUUUGUGGAAUUUGUUGUUAUAAAAUAUAUAGUACGUAAUGCCAAUUUAAAAACAAAAUAAAACCCCUUCACAAAUUUGCACUUUUUUGUGGGGACAUCUAUAACUAAUAUUACAUUGCAAAAAUGGAGGGGCGCAGCAACGCGCGCCAUCAAUGGUCUAGUAUACCUAAGAAGUUGGUCUACUAUCAGCCAUGCAUGCAUGCACGUCAUCUUUUUUACCCUGCACGCCCGCACACUCAACCAUCAAUCGUGUGUGCCUGCCUGCCUUCCCUACAUGGGCAUCACAUCGUUUGGCUGGAUAUGUUCCUUCAGUUUCUCAUCGGGCCGCUUCCUUUAUUCUCCAUAAUAAUAGCGUCCUUUAGUUUUUUCCCAAUGGCCCAUCGCACCACCUGCGGGCCCAUGGAGAUAAUUAUUUUUCGCUGGAAGAUCAACCAACCGUGCUCUCCUUGACUAUCCGCCUCCAUACGUUUAUCUGUUCCCAUUCUCUCGCCCCUCGCUUGAUCUCCUUUACCAGAAGCUCCGACGAUUUCUGCGGCUCGCCCUUUUUGGUGGUUGUCCACACCAUCCAUCGUUUACUGGGAUCAACGCAUAAUCCCCGCGAUGUCAUCUAUCUGCCGCCAUUCAGGAUCGAAGCUGCAGCCCACCGGCCGGCGCCAAAGGUUAUUCUCAAUAGUCAAUAUCACAGUACUCUACCCGUGAGGAUCUCUGCCGCCGCACAUCGUCGUUCCUAUCGCCCACUACAUCUGAAUGAACUCCUACGCCAGCUUAGCAACUACUGCCUGCUGGGACGAUUAAUCUUUCUACUCGUGUCUUGGUCUACACGAUUUUCUUUCUUGAUCAGCAGUUCGUCUAUCUCUCCCACUGAUGGAUUUUAGAGUGGCCAGGUCGAUUUUGCACAACUGAACCUUUUUUCUCUGCCUUAUCUUCCAGGUAUAUAUUUAUGUGCUGCUUUAUGCCGAUGGGGAUUUCCUUAUCUUGGAAAAGUGUAAUGUAGGCAAAUAGUUCUGGGGGAUUACAAGGUCAACUGCUCAAUUCAUAUGGAUACGGUUCAGCAUCUACAGUGAAAUCACAAGGUUUCACUCUUGACACAAUUUUUCUGCUUGACAUUUCUUAAGCCUGGCUCCUAUUAUUCAUCUGCUGCAACCAAAAUCAUUUUUGUUAGUUUUUUACACAUAUGCGUGCAAUAGUUGUUAUAAAUCACGACCUUCAAAUUAAGUUUAUGAGUGAUAUUUACUUAUUUUAUGAAGUGUUUAGUGUUGGAUGUAACCUUGGUUGAACUGCAGGGAGGAGGGGCAUCAAGGUAGGCGACAUAGUUGCUGCUGAGAGACCAUAUAACUCCAACUCUGUGCUAAAUCUGCAGUUCUGCAUGGACGUUCGGGGCAAGAAUGAGAACUGCCGCUAUAGCCAUGCCUCACUAUCCUGCAGCACAAUUGUGGAGAAUCACCUUAGUUUAAUUUUUCUCACCAUGCUUCACUUCCAUUCAGUGUAGUGGAUUCUAGCUAUUUGAGAGGUAACAUGUUUUCAAAUGCUACCCUCAUAUUUUUUCAUUCUGGUGUUUCUCAUAGCUGUUCGGGUAAGAGAUCAAUGGGAAAUGACCAUGUGUUUGGAUAGCAAGUUCUUUGGGCACUUUUCCAUACUGAUCAAAAUAGUAAUUCAAACCAAUUACUUUCUUGACAUUCCACAUGUGCACAUCCUGCUUACCCCACUUAAUCAACAUGUGGGCCAUGUUUUAGUUCAGCCUUUGCCCUAGACCAAAAAAAAUCUUUGUCGUUGCCAGCAGGAAAAUUAGCAUUUUUUUAUGUAUGUUUCGUUAUGCAUUCAUAGAUCUUCAUGUGCAAUAAUAAGGCAUUUUCUAGCUUCUGAUGCUGCUACAGUUUCCGCACUUUCAGACUCGACAACCUUGCAAUCUGUAGUUUUGAAAUAUCCUUACCAUGAUGAAUAUUAAACUUCAAACAGUCAAUUAUUUGUAGACUCCAUUAUGUGAAAACUUAUCCUACCUCUAUUCUAUUAGCAAUUUAUUUUCCUGAAAAUGCAGACUUGGAGCAAAACAAGAAGUUUACGACAAUGUUGACGUAUAAUUGCCGUAAUAAGUUCUGAUUCUCGUCAGGUAGGAAGUUUGGAGAAGAAAACAUAAGUUUUUAAAAGAAGGGAAUGGUAAAAAGGUUAGUCCGUUCAACUAUAUAAACCAUAAAGGUGCGAUGGUGAUGUCACCGUCAGUAAGGAUAAGAUGAAAAAGAAAAUUAAAAACUAAAACUAAAAGAACAUCAAGUGAUUUUUUUUUGACAAGUACAAACUCUAGUACCAUAAGUACCAUAAAUUUUAAAUAAAAAAAUUGCAUCAGUUCUGACUCAAGAGACAAUAAAUUUGCAAAAAAAUUUGUACCAGUAAAAGUUCGGAGGAAAAAAAGCAACUUAAUAAAUGAAAAAAAAACACAAGUUCACGAUUAGAAAAGUUGUAUGUUCAAACAUGACGUCUCUGAUAAGUUUGGGGAAAAGCUCAAACAAAAGAAAAACCCAUGGAAAUUCAAAUGGUAAAAGUUCAAGUCGCAAAACGCGAGAAGUCCAAAACAUCGUUG